GUUGGUCUGAUUAGCAGACGGUUUCAAAGUUAGUUUUUUAUUUCUCAUCUAUGUUAGUGCCGCCCUUAGCCUUUCUCUUUGAGUUUUAUUCGAAAUUUGAUUUGUUUCUGCAACUCAGCCUCUAUCGCCGAAAGGCUCAUUGAAAAAGGUAAUAAUUAUGUCUGAUAAAAUCACUGGCACCGUAAAAUGGUUCAACGCUGAAAAAGGUUUUGGCUUCAUCUCUCCUGAGAAUGGCAGCAAAGACGUUUUCGUUCACUAUUCCGCUAUUCAAAGCAAUGAUUUUCGUACGCUUGACGAAGGCCAGCGCGUUGAGUUCUCAAUUGAGAACGGCCCUAAAGGCCCGGCAGCAGCGAAUGUAACAGGAAUUUAAGAUUAUUUUAAUUUUACAACAUUUAAGAUGUCCGCACUGUCAUGGUUCACAGUACCGGACUUCUGCUU
rfam:Izhakiella sp. D4N98 NODE_17_length_88142_cov_106.808_ID_3603, whole genome shotgun sequence.